AUUCAGUCCCAGACAUAAAAUAUCUACUCACAUUUCAAAGAUUCCUUGCCCGCCGAGUCCGACCACUGGGUGCCUCACCGCCCGGAAAUGGAUCCUUCCGCUGAAGAUCCGUGAAGGCAGACUGACGGCGCUGCGAAAGGUCGUCAUCACGUUGCACGUUGCCGUGGCCCCCAACGCUCCUCCCCCUCUUCCUCAUACGGUAGAAGAAGGAAGUCUCACCGGGCCGCAAAGGUGCAAUGCCUAGGUCUUAU